rnacentral:rRNA from 1 species
AGUGAUGAAGGCUUUCGGGUCGUAAAACUCUGUUGUUAGGGAAGAACAAGUGCUAGUUGAAUAAGCUGGCACCUUGACGGUACCUAACCAGAAAGCCACGGCUAACUACGUGCCAGCAGCCGCGGUAAUACGUAGGUGGCAAGCGUUAUCCGGAAUUAUUGGGCGUAAAGCGCGCGCAGGUGGUUUCUUAAGUCUGAUGUGAAAGCCCACGGCUCAACCGUGGAGGGUCAUUGGAAACUGGGAGACUUGAGUGCAGA